rnacentral:sRNA from 1 species
CCGUGGCCAUUUUGGCUCUAG